UGCCGGGUGGUGUAGCGGUAUGCAUACACCCCGGUGCCGGGUGUGGUCCCAGGUUCGAACCCUGGCCCGGCGA
rnacentral:tRNA from 1 species